rnacentral:rRNA from 1 species
UACAGAGGGUGCAAGCGUUGUUCGGAAUUAUUGGGCGUAAAGGGUGCGUAGGCGGUUUGGUAAGUCUCUUGUGAAAUCUAUGGGCUCAACUCAUAGUCUGCAAGGGAAACUGCCGGGCUUGAGUGUGGGAGAGGUGAGUGGAAUUUCCGGUGUAGCGGUGAAAUGCGUAGAUAUCGGAAGGAACACCUGUGGCGAAAGCGGCUCACUGGACCACAACUGACGCUGAUGCACGAAAGCUAGGGGAGCAAACAGG